rnacentral:rRNA from 1 species
GAUUAACGCUAGCGGUAUGCCUAAUACAUGCAAGUCGAGCGGAUGUAGCAAUACAUUAGCGGCAAACGGGUGAGUAAUACAUAUCUAACCUACCUUUUAGAGAAGAAUAACUGAUCGAAAGAUUAGCUAAUACUUCAUAGGAUAUUUGAACGCAUGUUUAAAUAUUUAAAGUUCCGUUUGGAACACUUUAAGAUGGGGGUGUGGUUUAUCAGAUAGUUGGUGAGGUAAUGGCCCACCAAGUCAAUGACGAAUAGCUAUGCUGAGAGGUAGAAUAGCCACAAGGGGACUGAGACACGGCCCCUACUCCUACGGGAGGCAGCAGUAGGGAAUUUUUCACAAUGGGCGAAAGCCUGAUGGAGCAAUACCGCGUGGAUGAUGAAGGUCUUUGGAUUGUAAAAUCCUUUUAUUAGGGACGAAUGACAUAAGUAGGAAAUGAUUUAUGUUUGACUGUACCUUUUGAAUAAGUAACGGCAAACUAUGUGCCAGCCGCCGCCGUAACAC